UUACUAAUCCAAUGGUUGACAGAAUAUGUUAAGGAAAAGAUCUUGGCCAUUAAUAGCCAUCAUGUGGCUGGGGAGCUGAGUUGGGUGUUCAGACUUAACUGACACCUGAAAGACAGUUGCCAGACUACAAUAGUAGGGGCAGCCUAAAAGUAAUGGGAGCAUUACUUACUCUCAACCGGUUACACUCAAAAAAACAUUGUCGUCUAAACAAAAAAGGUCAUCGGAAGGAUUGCUCGGACAACGUCAGACCGGUUGAGGAUUUCAAAGGAUUCUGGGAAAUGACACUUCAACGAAAACGGGGAGCAACUGCAAAAAAUGAAGAAAAAAAGUUGAAGUGGCAAAAUUCACGAAAGACACUUUGGCACAAAUUCAAUCUGAAAGAGGUCGAAUGGAGACUUUAUUAAGAGAGCAAAAUAGAUUACAAAAUACUGAGAUGCAAAAGGUUCUUGCUGGAAAGUGGAAGGUUGCUUUCAAUUUGGGUUCUACAAGUAAAUCUUAGAAGCAAAAGGAGAAGAAAAAUGAGAUUGCACCUUCUGAUUUGGAUGAAAGUUAUGAAAUUGAAGAAGAGGACCACAAUGAAGAUGAUGAAGAAGGUUUUGAAGUUGCUUCACGUGAAAUGAUCAAUCAGUGUUCUUUCAAAAGAAUCGUGAGGAUUGUGGAUACAUUAUCGGAUGAGUAGAAGGCAAUGGUACGAGGGGAAAUUUGGUGCAUAUUUGAGGGCAGAUUACCCCAUAUACAGUGAGCUGGUUAAAUGGCUCUUUGACUGUGUGGAUGUUGGCGGCAACUUCAUUAAUAUUUAUGGGAAGAAGGUGCCAAUGUCCCCGAGGAUUUUCCAACGUGUUAUGGAGCAUCCUGAUGGGAAUGUUUGGAUCGACAUUGAAGCAAAGGUUGAUGAGAUGGAGUUGAAUGAUAAAUUAAUGGGGGGUAAAGCUAGAAUCAGCUUGACAACUUUGGAGAAGUAAUUGCUAGAUUAUAGUGAGGCUGAGUCAUUUUUCUUCGCAAGUUUUGUCCUCGUGAUCCUUGGGAGCAUCUUAGUUCUAAGAACCGGGAACACAAUACAUUCAAGUUACAUAAGCAUCGUCACUGAUCCCGACAAGAUCAAGUCCCAAAACUGGGCAACUCAUGCAUACAGUGAAUUAAUGAAAUUUGUGGGGAAGUACCAAGCUGGUUGUUUAAUUCAUGCAAAAGGAUACACAACAUUUUUGUAGUUACUUCAAUUACUUUGACAUUCCAAAUAUGUCUGUCGACCGUAGUGUUUCUCUGAUAUGAUUUUGGACAGAUAAGGCAACCAAGCGAGUGAAGAAUUAUGUCUGUCACAAUGAGGGUUACAGUGGCUGCAAAACAAUAAGUGGUCUCCUUUAUUUAAUGUUUUUUUUCUUGAAGUUUUAAAGAUUAAAUAUUGAAUUUGAUUCAGUUUUUUUUUUUUUUUAGGUUCGUGUUGUUGACGAACUUCAUCAACCCCCACAAAUUGAUCCAAGUGAGGACUGUGUAGUGAAAGGGGCUGUAACUUUUUAUGCAAGAAGGUUAUGAAAAUGUCUUCUCAAAUGGAUUCAUUGAUGGCCGUGAUUGGCACAUUACCUGAGAAAAUCAGGGAUAUGAUUGCAAGUGAGGUUAAGCGCCUCAAUUUGAACACUGCAGUGGCAGAUGCCCCUUGAAAUGGGGGCUUUUAUGAGUGCGAACGAGAAUGAUGGAAAUGUUAGGCCUGAAGUAGGAGAAGAAAAUAUAAUGGAUUUGACCAAACUUUUUGAUGAUGUCAAUGUUUCGGGCAAUCAUUUUAAACAACUACAAGAAAGGCACAAGUGGGGGAUCAUUGGUUAUGACAAUUUUCGGUCACACGAAGGGAUUGUGGUUGGCACUUUCAAGCUUUCUAUGGCCGUAACAAUGUAGAUGUUUAAAUUGGCCGAGUACGUCUACAACCCUACCCUUUAAGACUUUUAUAUAGUGUGUGAUUACGGGGAUCUUCUAUUGGAUUGUGUAUGCAUGAGGUCACUUGAGCCUUCAAAAAUGGUGCGGGAAGAGCAAAAAUACCAUGGUAAGGAUUUCCCAGUUCGUCGGACAGCUUAUAAAAACAAAUGGAAGCAACAUCACUAUGGUGAUUUUCGUAGAUGUCAUGAGAUGUUGAUCCCUGUUUUUAUUAAAGAAGGUUCAAAUGUGGUGUAUUGGUUCAUGGCAAGAGUGGAUAAGGCCAACCAAAAAUGUAACGCCCUAGUUACUCCAAGACUGUUACUGUGAAAUUUGAACCGUGUUUAACUCGCUAAUCGAGUUCUUUGGUUAUAAACAUGCAUCUAGGUGCUAUUAAUAUGUUAAGGUGAAAAAUCAAUCAAAGAUGAAAUGAUAUAUCUUAUUUAA